rnacentral:rRNA from 1 species
UACGUAGGGCGCGAGCGUUGUCCGGAAUUAUUGGGCGUAAAGAGCUCGUAGGCGGCCUGUUGCGUCCGCUGUGAAAUCCCAGGGCUCAACCCUGGGCGUGCAGUGGAUACGGGCAGGCUGGAGGCAGGCAGGGGAGAACGGAAUUCCCGGUGUAGCGGUGAAAUGCGCAGAUAUCGGGAGGAACACCGGUGGCGAAGGCGGUUCUCUGGGCCUG